AACGAACGCUGGCGGCAUGCCUAACACAUGCAAGUCGAACGAGACCUUCGGGUCUAGUGGCGCACGGGUGCGUAACGCGUGGGAACCUGCCCUUAGGUUCGGAAUAACUCCCCGAAAGGGGUGCUAAUACCGGAUAAUGUCUUCGGACCAAAGAUUUAUCGCCUUUGGAUGGGCCCGCGUUGGAUUAGCUAGUUGGUAGGGUAAAAGCCUACCAAGGCGACGAUCCAUAGCUGGUCUGAGAGGAUGAUCAGCCACGCUGGGACUGAGACACGGCCCAGACUCCUACGGGAGGCAGCAGUGGGGAAUAUUGGACAAUGGGCGAAAGCCUGAUCCAGCAAUGCCGCGUGAGUGAUGAAGGCCUUAGGGUUAUAAAGCUCUUUUACCCGGGAUGAUAAUGACAGUACCGGGAGAAUAAGCUCCGGCUAACUCCGUG
rnacentral:rRNA from 1 species